GCUGUGUUUCCUGCUGCCACAUAAAUCAAUCCCUAUUCCCUAAGCAACUAACAAACCCUAAUCAACACAACAGAACAGAAGAUCAUCACCCACUUCUCCCUUCUACCUCUAAGUCUGAUUCGAAUGAAUCGUCCACCAACCUCCGCCGCUACUGCUACCGCUGGAGAAUGUGGGAAUUGCGGGACGCACAAGGGAUGGGUUCUCCACCACAUGCGCCUGCGUGGCAUACACCGUCGCCUCUGCACCUCCUGCGUCCUACGCCUGCACCCUGGCUCCUUCUGCCCCUCAUGCUUCGUCUUAUACGACCCGCAACCGCCUCACCCUACCAAGCGUGUCUCUUGUUCCAGCUGCCUCUCCUUCGCCCACGCUCACUGCGUCAAAUCGCUCCAGCUAUCCCAAUCUCCUUAUCUCUGCCCUCCCUGCGCCGACUCCAACUUCUCCUUCUUCGACGUUACCGAUCACGUCAUUGACAAGAAGCUCUCCCUCGCCCUCCUCUGCGCCGCCAAAAUUGCCUCCGCGUCCAUGGCCAAAGCUGUCAUUGUUGCUAGGAGUGAGGCUGAAAGGCGCGUUAGGGAGGCCGUCGUUGCCAAGAAGAGGGCCAGGGAAGCUUUGGAGCACGUUGCCUCUCUUGACAAGGAGAAGCUCCGGAAGAAAGAACUGCAGUUAUUGCACCAGCAGCAGCACUCAAUGAAAAUUGAGGUGGAUAAGAGAGAGACUGCUGCUCCCAUUGAUUCUGCUCCGCCGAUUCUGCAAAAUAAUGGGAGCGUGGAGAAGGUCAACGAUGGGAAUCUCGAUACUCAUUUGCAGAACAACUUCAAUAGCAACGGUAAUAGCCACAAUGGUAAUGCUCCGCACCAAUUGUCAGACAGUCGUGUUAAGGAAGAAGAAGGUUCUAAGUAACCGUUCACAGGACCAACCGAAAUCCUGGGCAAGAUGCAUUCAUUCAAACAUAACAUGACUGAUUGUGGAGGCAUGUAGUUUUGAUGGAUGUGUAAGUGAGAGCAAGAAAUAUUUCUGAGUUUCGGCGAUGGUUUUGGAACUUGUAUAUUGCAAGAUUUAAACCUUUUUAUCACUUGAGACUGCUGCUAUCAGAUUAUGAUGACCAUAUAAAGUUUCUACUUCAACUAAAAUGUUAUCUACAUAAUAGAGAUGAAAAGAUUCUUAUGGGUUGAUUCAAAUACGAUCCAUAACAGGUAGAACUUGUUGAGAAAUUGGUUUCUUUUGCUGUCCCCAUUGUAGCGGGAAUGGGUUUGUUUAUUAAGUAAAUGAUCUGCAUUAGCUAGUUCACCAUUUCACCAGAUCAUAUCAUGGUUGUAAUAGUAAAAUUUUUCGUUGGUUCUUUUGUUACAUAAGUUGCGAAAAUGAGUGCCAUAUUCAUUUUGUAUCCCCAAAAGAUUUAUCAUGGAGUCGGUCUUUUCGAACACCUGCACUUGUUUUGACCACUUCAGCUGUGUAAUGAAUCUUCUGCUUCACUCUUGUGGUUUUUAAUUUUUAUUCCUUGACAUACAACA